rnacentral:rRNA from 1 species
UGGGGAAUAUUGCACAAUGGGCGAAAGCCUGAUGCAGCAACGCCGCGUGAGUGAUGAAGGUCUUCGGAUUGUAAAGCUCUGUCUUUUGGGACGAUAAUGACGGUACCAAAGGAGGAAGCCACGGCUAACUACGUGCCAGCAGCCGCGGUAAUACGUAGGUGGCGAGCGUUGUCCGGAUUUACUGGGCGUAAAGGGUGCGUAGGCGGAUGUUUAAGUGAGAUGUGAAAUACCCGGGCUUAACUUGGGUGCUGCAUUUCAAACUGGAUAUCUAGAGUGCAGGAGAGGAGAAUGGAAUUCCUAGUAUAGCGGUGAAAUGCGUAGAGAUUAGGAAGAACACCAGUGGCGAAGGCGAUUCUCUGGACUGUAACUGACGCUGAGGCACGAAAGCGUGGG